rnacentral:tRNA from 1 species
GGGCGUUUAGCGCAGUGGUAGCGCGUAUGCUUUGCAUGUCGUAAGCAUCACGCGGCGUGAUUACUUAAUCUGCUUGUAUAAGGUCCAGGGUUCAAUCCCCUGAACGUCCA